GGCCCCUUGCGCUAGCCGUAGCGGUGCUUCCGUUGCCUCUGUGACCUUAGCCCCCAGUCCACUUCAGCCUUUUCCAUAGUAAUCACUCUCUGCUGCUCUGGUUAUAAAGGACUCUCUUCAUACUGGAAUAACAAGAGUCUUUUCAGCUCCUAGUAAUUCCUAAGCAAGUGAUGGGAUACUUGGCAAUAUCUGGCUCAAAAGUUUAUUUCUAAGAAAGCUCCAAAUUAUGAACGUUUAAGCCUGUGGACCAAGAGAGAUGGGGUGGAAAGAGACAUUCAUCAAGGAUCAGAGGACUUAACAGGUAGUGAAAACACUUGGAAAAUCCCACUGCAACUUUUUUGUGGCCUAGAAAAUAUGAAGUGCCAAGAGGUUGAAAGAAAGAUCCAAACCCACCCUCUAGUCCAGUCCAGCCAAGUCCAACCAACAGUCCGAGUUCUUCUAUCUGCUAGUUUCAAAUACUAGCUGGCCUCUGAGCUGGAGGCUCCUCUCUACUGCUUUCCAGACCCGAGAGUGACUUCUAACACUCACACUUCGUGAGGACAACUGGCACUGCUCCUGCCCUGGCGGUGAGCAAAGCGAAGCCGCAUUCCUUUGUCUUUGCUGGGGAAGUGGUUCUGCCAGCGCUGGUCUAUCCAUGUACACCCCCAGAGUUUUCAAAGUGAUGUCCCAUGACUAAGCACCUUUGAUUUCUCUCUGUCCUACUGCAUGGACCUGGCCCACAUCACCACCGUCUCUGACCUAGAUAAUGUCAACUUGCCUCUGCCUCUAUACAUUUCCUACGCCUGACCUUGCAUCCUGCAGUCAAUAUUCCUCUUGAUUAAUAGAACAAUUCGUGAAAAAUGUGAACCUGA